CGCCCUCCGCCAUAUUUGUGACUGGCAGCUCCCUGUUAUAGCUCAGCCACGUGGCCUGCAGUGAGUGGAGGCCCUGAUUUAUAGUUCACGUCAGGUAACCCGACACCAGGGCGGAUUUGCCCUUUUGGAAGAUGGCGGAGGCUGAGGUGGGCGCUCUGGUUCGUCAGAAUCUCUAUGGUCGCCCCCUUAUAAAAGGAAGCUGUGGGGCCCUGUCUCGUUCUCUUUGUGCCGAGCUGCAGACUUCUGCUGCAGGGACAGAAGACUGGGCAUUCAGGACAGAAGUUUGAAAAAAACCAACAAUUGAAGACUUAUAUACACUGCUCAAAAAUAAAGGGAACACUUAAACACAAUGUAACUCCAAGUUAAUCAUGCUGUCCAAUCGGGAAGCAACACUGACAAUCUAUUUCACAUGCUGUUGUGCAAAUGGAACAGACAGGUGGAAAUUCUAGGCAAUUGGCAGGACACCCCAAUGAAGGAGUGGUUCUGCAGGUGGUGACCACAGACCACUUCUCCAUUCCUAUUCUUCCUGGCUGAUAUUUUGGUCACUUUUGAAUGCUGGCAGUGAUUUCACUCUAGUGAUAGCAUGAGACAGUGUACAGCCCACACAAGUGGCUCAGGUAGUGGAGCGCAUCCAGGAUGACACAUCAAUGUGAGCUCUGGUAAGGUUUUCUGUCGGUGUAGUGUCCAGAGCAUGGAGGCACUACCAGGAGACAGGCCAGUACAUCAGGAGACGUGGAGGCCGUAGGAGGGAAACAACCCAGCAGCAGCUGCUACCUCCACCUUUGUGCAAGGAGGAGCACUGCCAGAGCCCUGCAAAAUGACCUCCCGCAGGCCACAAAUGUGCAGGUGUCUACUCAAAUGGUCAAACAGACUCCAUGAGGCUGGUAUGAGGGCCCGACAUCCACAGGUGGGGGUUGUGCUUACAGCCCAACACAGUGCAGGAUGUUUGGCAUGUGCCAGAGAACAGAUUGGCAAAUUUGCCACUGGCCCCCUGUGAUCUUCAGAUGAAAGCAGGUUCACACUGAGCACAUGUGACAGUCCAGACACCAUGGAGAACGUUCUGUUGCCUGCAACAUCCUCCAGCACGACCAGUUUGGCUGUGGGUCAGUGAUGGUGAGGGGGGGCGGCAUUUCUUUGGGGGGCUGCACAGCCCUCCAUGUGCCUGCCAGAGGUAGCCUGAUUGCCAUUAGGUACAGAGGUGAGAUUCUCAGACCCCUUGUGAGACCAUAUGCUGUUUGUUUUUCUUCCAGUUGCUCUUAAAAACAAAAAAAAAAAUCUUAUCUGGAAAUUGUGUAAUGUUGUUAGAAUAAAACAGAACUGCUUUUAUUCAAAUUAACUAA